UACGUAGGGUGCUAGAGUUGUCCGGAUUUACUGGGUGUAAAGGGUGCUCAGGUGGGUUUGUAAGUCAGAGGUGAAAUCCCAAAGCUUAACUUUGGAGCUGCCUUUGAUACUGCAAGUCUUGAGUUUGAGAGAGGGCAAUGGAAUAUCUGGUGUAGCAGUGAAAUGCGUAGAUAUCAGAUAGAACACCAAUGGCGAAGGCAGUUGCCUGGCUCAAAACUGACGCUAAAGCACGAAAGUGUGGGGAGCAAACAGGAUUAGAUACCCUGGUAGUCCACACCCUAAACGAUGAAUACUAGAUGUUGGUCCUUUUUAGGAUCAGUAUCCAAGCUAACGCAUUAAGUAUUCCACCUGGGAAGUACAAUCGCAAGGUUGAA
rnacentral:rRNA from 1 species